GAUGAAGAACGCAGCGAAAUGCGAUAAGUAAUGUGAAUUGCAGAAUUCAGUGAAUCAUCGAAUCUUUGAACGCACAUUGCGCCCCCCGGCAUUCCGGGGAGCAUGCCUGUUCGAGCGUCUCCUGGAAUACCCCUCACGCCGGCGGAGGCGUGGUCAUGGCGGCGGUGGCGUGCCCCGAGAGGGAGGCCACCGCGCUGGAAUCCAUGGGCGGACGCCUGCCGCGUGGCCGAGCGUGAUAAGACGCACUGGCGCUCGCGCGCGGCGAGGCUGCCGGCCCUGGCCCGCUCGUCGGGCGGGGACAGCAACACUUGGGAACUCCUCGAAUCAGGUAGGGAUACCCGCUGAACUUAAGCAUAUCAAUAAGCGGAGGA
rnacentral:misc_RNA from 1 species